GGACGAACGCUGGCGGCGUGCCUAAUACAUGCAAGUCGAGCGGAGUUCAUCGGGAGCUUGCUUCGGAUGAACUUAGCGGCGGACGGGUGAGUAACACGUAGGCAACCUGCCCGUAAGACUGGGAUAACUACCGGAAACGGUAGCUAAUACCGGAUACGCAAGUUUCUCGCAUGAGGGGCUUGGGAAAGGCGGAGCAAUCUGUCACUUACGGAUGGGCCUGCGGCGCAUUAGCUAGUAGGUAGGGUAACGGCCUACCUAGGCGACGAUGCGUAGCCGACCUGAGAGGGUGAACGGCCACACUGGGACUGAGACACGGCCCAGACUCCUACGGGAGGCAGCAGUAGGGAAUCUUCCGCAAUGGACGAAAGUCUGACGGAGCAACGCCGCGUGAGUGAUGAAGGUUUUCGGAUCGUAAAGCUCUGUUGCCAGGGAAGAACGUCUURGAGAGUAACUGCUCUAAGAGUGACGGUACCUGAGAAGAAAGCCCCGGCUAACUACGU
rnacentral:rRNA from 1 species